rnacentral:lncRNA from 1 species
UCAUCUUCCCUCAACCUCUUACUUUCUAUUAGAUCCUACAUUAAGUUACAUAUAUGAGCACUUGAACCAGAGUCCAAUACUCAACUAGAAGUAGAAGAAACUGUAAGGUUAGAUUCAAUUAUAAGCAUACCUUUUGAAGAUUUAUCAUCUUUUUUGAUCUUUACGCUCUCCAGGUAGAGUGGAUAGUUCCUCCUCUAGUAGCCAUCAGCAUCACAGUGAAAAUAUUUUUCUUUUACUUCAGCCUUCUUCGGA